rnacentral:rRNA from 1 species
CCUACGGGAGGCAGCAGUGGGGGAUAUUGCACAAUGGGGGGAACCCUGAUGCAGCGACGCCGCGUGGGUGAAGGAGUGCUUCGGCAUGUAAAGCCCUAUCGGCAGGGAAGAAGCAAGACGGUACCUGACUAAGAAGCCCCGGCUAACUACGUGCCAGCAGCCGCGGUACUACGUAGGGGGCAAGCGUUAUCCGGAUUUACUGGGUGUAAAGGGGGCGCAGACGGCAAUGCAAGCCAGGAGUGAAAGCCCGGGGCCCAACCCCGGGACUGCUCUUGGAACUGCAUGGCUGGAGUACAGGAGGGGCAGGCGGAAUUCCUAGUGUAGCGGUGAAAUGCGUAGAUAUUAGGAGGAACACCGGUGGCGAAGGCGGCCUGCUGGACUGUGACUGACGUUGAGGCCCGAAGGCGUGGGGAGUAAACAGGAUUAGAUACCCUGGUAGUC